rnacentral:misc_RNA from 1 species
GAUGAAGAACGCAGCGAAAUGCGAUAAGUAAUGUGAAUUGCAGAAUUCAGUGAAUCAUCGAAUCUUUGAACGCACAUUGCGCCCGCCAGUAUUCUGGCGGGCAUGCCUGUUCGAGCGUCAUUACAAACCUCAGGCCCCCGGGCCUGGCGUUGGGGAUCGGCGGAAGCCCCCUGCGGGCACAACGCCGUCCCCCAAAUACAGUGGCGGUCCCGCCGCAACUUCCAUUGCGUAGUAGCUAACACCUCGCAACUGGAGAGCGGCGCGGCCACGCCGUAAAACACCCAACUUCUGAAUGUUGACCUCGAAUCAGGUAGGAAUACCCGCUGAACUUAAGCAUAUCAAUAAGCGGAGGA